rnacentral:lncRNA from 1 species
UUGUUUAUUGCUCUCUCUUUAAAAUGGAUCAAAGGCUCUUUUAUUUUUUGGUUACAACUCAUGCUAACCUUGUCAAUAAUACUUUUUUCAAUUGCUCUACCAAUCCAAAGCCAAAUAUUUAUGAGCUGUAGAUUGCAAAAUUUGUUUUUGGGUGAAUUGAUUCAGGAUCUACUUUUGUGGUAUGAGACUUAGAAGCUGGUCAUUCCUUUUUGUGUAACCUCUUGUUGCUAGCCUUUCUGUCCAUGCAUUGUGGAUUUUUGCACUGGAAAUUUUGCAAGCUUCGCUGGGCAUCCAAACCUAAACCCAAAUAUCAUUUUUGUGACGACCUUC